rnacentral:rRNA from 1 species
GAUGAACGCUGGCGGCGUGCUUAACACAUGCAAGUCGAACGGUGAACACGGAGCUUCCUCUGUGGGAUCAGUGGCGAACGGGUGAGUAACACGUGAGCACCCUGCCCCUGACUCUGGUAUAAGCGCUGGAAACGGCGUCUAAUACUGGAUAUGUGACGUGACCGCAUGGUGUGCGUUUGGAAAGAUUUUUCGGUGGGGGAUGGGCUCGGGGCCUAUUAGUUUGUUGGUGAGGUUCUGGCUCACCAGGGCGUCGUAGGGUGCCCGGGCUGAGGGGGUGCCGGGACAUACGGGGUGUGAGACACGCCCGAGUCCCCUGCGGGGGGGAAGAGUGGGAAAUAUUGCACAGUGGGCGAAAGUGUUGUGCAGCAGCGCCGCGGGGGGUGUAGCGGCCUUCGUGGUGUAAACCUUUUUUAGGGGAGAAGGAGCGAUAGUGACGGUACCUGGAGAAGAAGCGCCGGCUAACUACGUG